rnacentral:rRNA from 1 species
AUACGUAGGGGGCGAGCGUUGUCCGGAAUGAUUGGGCGUAAAGGGCGCGUAGGCGGCGCGGUAAGUCUGGAGUGAAAGUCCUGCUUUCAAGGUGGGAAUUGCUUUGGAUACUGCCGCGCUUGAGUGCAGGAGAGGUUAUCGGAAUUCCCGGUGUAGCGGUGAAAUGCGUAGAGAUCGGGAGGAACACCAGUGGCGAAGGCGGGUAACUGGACUGCAACUGACGCUGAGGCGCGAAAGUGUGGGGAGCAAACAGGAUUAGAUACCCUGGUAGUCCACACUGUAAACGAUGAAUGCUAGGUGUAAGAGGUAUCGACCCCUGUUGUGCCGGAGUCAACACAAUAAGCAUUCCGCCUGGGGAGUACGGCCGCAAGGUUGAAACUCAAAGGAAUUGACGGGG